UCCCCCUUCUUUUACAUACAAACAAGGCAAGAAUUUAGAUUUUGGAUGAGGACUUUUGUGUAAUCAUUUCAUUUUAACUCUCUUUCUGCAUAUCUGCAGGUUGGGCUUUCACAAGCCAGGAGGCUUGCUCAAGGUCAAUUAAUCAGAAUACAUGCGUCCAGUCCUUUCCCUGUUCAAAUAGAUGGGGAGCCAUUCAUCCAACAACCUGGCUGCAUAGAAAUAACUUAUCAUGGGCAGGUCUUCAUGUUGCGGAGGGCCUCCGAAGAGCCCCGGGGACAUGCAGCUGCCAUUAUGACAGAAGUCUUACUGGAUGCUGAAUGCAAAGGAAUUAUCAACGCGUCUCAAAAGAAAGUACUUCUCCAGCAGAUGGCACUUAAUCUCUCUUGAUCCUAGUCAGUUGCCAAAUUUUGUUCGUAAUUCCUCGAUCUAACAGGAAAAAGAAAAAGAACACUUCUUUGUGUUGUUUAUCACGGUUUGUUUUUCAUUUGUUGGAAACGUUUCACUUUUUGUAGGUGCAGUCCUUAUAAACGUACUUAUACAUAAGGGAUUCCACAAGAUCCGCGGAUAUAGGAGAUACUGUAAAUAUGUUUAGUUCUGAGAGAGACAUGUAAAUCCCAUAAAAAUGAAAGGAAAAGAGGUGAUGAUGAGUUUUAUUCA